rnacentral:rRNA from 1 species
AAUAAAUGCUAUCGGUAUGCUUAACACAUGCAAGUUGAAUGUUUUUUAAAAACAUAGCGAACGGGUGAGUAACACGUGAAUUAUCUACCUUUUAAUUCAGAAUAAUUAUUUUUAUAAAAAUACUGAAUAAAUAAAUUAAAGUUUUUUUAACGUUAAAAGAUGAGUUUGCGCAAGAUUAUGGUAGUUGGUUGUUUAAAAGACUACCAAGCCUAUUAUCUUUAGCUGAUUUGAAAGAAUGAUCAGCCACAUUGGGACUGAGACACGGCCCAAACUUUUUUAAAGGCAGCAGUGGGGAAUUUUGGACAAUGAGCGGAAGCUUGAUCCAGCAAUACCGAGUGAGUGAUGACGGCUAAUUAGGUUGUAAAGCUCUUUCAUUAAGGAGGAAAAUGACAGUACUUAAAAAAGAAGUUCCGGCUAAUACCCGUGCCAGCCGCCGCCGUAACAC